GUACUAGGCGGAAGUAAGGUGGCUUCUCUGAUAAGGAAGAGAGCCCUGGUUCGAGUCCAGGCAGGCCCA
rnacentral:tRNA from 1 species